UGAAUUCAACAGGGCUAUGUUCAUUUUAUACCAGCGAAGGAGCUGGGUAAGGAGCAGUAUGUCUUUGGUGCUUUGGAGUAGGCAGGUGACCAUGUUGUGUUUCAGAGUCACAGUAUUGCUUCAGGAGAAAAUACCAUGCCCCAGAUCUACACCUGGAACAGAUUAUCCCAUCCUCCUCCUUGCUGCUCUGCUGUUCAGACCAGAGCAUUAGUGGGAAAAGCCCAGGUACUUUCACCCCCUGCUAGCUGCACCAGAGAAGGAGCAGUACCUCUGUGGAUAUCCCACUGAGGAAAGGAGGCAAUAUCUUAUUUCCUGCUGUAUCAUGCAUGGGAACAAAGGGUAUGUGAUAAUUCUGAUGCAUAUGACCCAUCCUAAUCAAAAGAAUCUGAUAUUGCUACCACUCCAAGGAAGAAAAUAGACUCUUCUGUAUUCUCCUCAGCUCAGCAAUCUGCAAGCACCUGAGAUAAGCAUUUCUCAUUCUGAAUAAAUGCGUUUGAAAAUCAAGGCUCUAACUAAAGUUGGCACUUCUGAUCCACCCACUGUGCUUCUCUGCUGUCUAUGUUGGAUCAACAGGGUAACUCCUGAUGUGAAGGAACGAGGGGACAUUGAUCUGACAAAAGCCUUUGGCAGAACACUUUAAACUGCCUGGACUUUCCUGACCUCAGAAUAGCUGUUUUUAUCCAGUAAAACUUUGAAAGCCAACUUGAACGCAAAAUUGAGGAAAAGAAAUCAUCCACAGACUGGUUUGUGAAUAAUGCCUAGAGCUGUCAUGGAGUGCAUGCACUCCAAAUCCCAUUGCUUAAAUUAAAGCCAGUUCUGACAAGCAGAAGCACAACAACAUUGC